rnacentral:rRNA from 1 species
UACGAAGGGGGCUAGCGUUGCUCGGAAUCACUGGGCGUAAAGCGCACGUAGGCGGAUUGCUAAGUCAGGGGUGAAAUCCUGGAGCUCAACUCCAGAACUGCCUUUGAUACUGGCGAUCUUGAGUCCGGGAGAGGUGAGUGGAACUGCGAGUGUAGAGGUGAAAUUCGUAGAUAUUCGCAAGAACACCAGUGGCGAAGGCGGCUCACUGGCCCGGUACUGACGCUGAGGUGCGAAAGCGUGGGAGCAACAGG